rnacentral:rRNA from 1 species
AGUGAACGCUGGCGGUAGGCCUAACACAUGCAAGUCGAACGGCAGCACAGGAGAGCUUGCUCUCUGGGUGGCGAGUGGCGGACGGGUGAGGAAUACAUCGGAAUCUACUCUGUCGUGGGGGAUAACGUAGAGAAACUUACGCUAAUACCGCAUACGACCUACGGGUGAAAGCAGGGGACCUUCGGGCCUUGCGCGAUUGAAUGAGCCGAUGUCGGAUUAGCUAGUUGGCGGGGUAAAGGCCCACCAAGGCGACGAUCCGUAGCUGGUCUGAGAGGAUGAUCAGCCACACUGGAACUGAGACACGGUCCAGACUCCUACGGGAGGCAGCAGUGGGGAAUAUUGGACAAUGGGCGCAAGCCUGAUCCAGCCAUACCGCGUGGGUGAAGAAGGCCUUCGGGUUGUAAAGCCCUUUUGUUGGGGAAGAAAUCCAGCUGGCUAAUACCCGGUUGGGAUGACGGUACCCAAAGAAUAAGCACCGGCUAACUUCGUGCCAGCAGCCGCGGUAA